rnacentral:lncRNA from 1 species
CUCCUCCAAAAAUAUCAUAAAGUUGAAAUAUUGAUCCCAGCAUGGCAAUGUUUAAGCUUAAUUUCGUUAUCACUAUUCUUAUCAUCGCACUCACUAGUUAGUAUCUAUCUCUAUAUUUCUUUACAUUAUGCUUCUACAUUAUGUAUUUUGUUAAUAUGUAUAUAGGUAUAUACAUGACUUUGUACAUAUUUCAUAUGAAUCCAUAAUGUUCAUUUUGUUUCAUUAUAUGAUAUUUAAAUGUGGAUUUUCAGUAUUAUAGUUAUAAUUAUUUUAUGUUGAUAUUUAUGAUGGUGAAAUAUUUCAGUGAAUGUUCCUUUGGUCGAAAAGUAACUCCAUUAUCGAUAUUUUUAUCAUGGCAAUCUCUAGUUAGUAUCCAUCUUUAUUUAUCUAUAUAUUACACUUAUAAUUAUAUUGCGUUAGUUAAUAUGUAUAUAGAUACGUAUAUGAAUUUGUGCAUACUUCAUAUGAAUCCAUUAAUGUAUACCCAUACCAUAUGUUCCAUUAUAUGAUGUUUAGAUGUAGAGUUUUCAUAUUAUGUGGAUGGUUAUUUAAUUAUAAUAUUAUGAUAUUGGUGAAAUUUUUCAGUCAAUGUGCUGAGAUUCUCAAAUAAUCAAGUCGUAGCAACACCUGAUGUUGAUCAUGUUUCAGAAUUUAGGAAGAGAUUGCUCCCACAACUGAAUACUUGUUUGAGAUCUUGUACUUCGAGCAUUGAUUGCAAUGAUUGUUGGAUUUGUUGUGCUUGUAGAUACUCUGUGGUAAGUGGCUACACGUGUGAUUUGCACUUGUAGUGUCGUCGCAAAAACACUUCUACAAAUUCCUAUUAUAUGCAUUACUGUGUUCUUGUGAUUUUAACGUUUUUAUUUCUCUUUUUCUUAUUUAUUUGUCUUUUGUGCUUUGUAAAAGUAAUAAAAGAAGUCAUGAAUGACUUUCUAUUUCGAUACAAUAAUCUUUAAAUGUAUCCUUUGUACGUUGUAAAAGUAAUGCAAUAAACCUACGUAAGGUUCUUCCGUCCUAUUCCUU